GAAAUGACCAGCUAUGGGAAGCAUUGGAGUCAACAUGGGAAUCCCUGUGGAAAGCUUUCAGCACCUAGUAGAGUGUAUGAGGACAUGACCAGCUAUGGGAAGCAUUGGAGUCAACAUGGGAAUCCCUGUGGAAAGCUUUCAGCACCUAGUAGAGUGUAUGAGGACAUGACCAGCUAUGGGAAACAUUGGAGUCAACAUGGGAAUCCCUGUGGAAAGCUUUCAGCACCCAGUAGAGUGUAUGAGGACAUGACCAGCUAUGGGAAGCAUUGGAGUCAACAUGGGAAUCCCUGUGGAACGCUUUCAGCACCUAGUAGAGUGUAUGAGGACAUGACCAGCUAUGGGAAGCAUUGGAGUCAACAUGGGAAUCCCUGUGGAACGCUUCGGUGGUGCAACUCAGGUGUUGCUAAUGUUUUGUACACUCAGUGUACAAAGCUCAUGUCACAUGGCAGUUAAUACAAUAUCAUGAUGUCAUGAUUCACAGCUCGGCUAAGAUUUGAAUAACUAAGAUUUAAAUAAUACUUUGUUUAUUUUCUGGUAGAAACGGUUUCUGGUCGGAAACGGUUAAGUAUGUCCUCCACAGUCCUAUGGGAAUGACCAUACAGUUACAGAGUGUUUCUGGCAUCAGAAUCGCAGGUUCCUGAUACUGCCGUUGUGCCAUUGAGCAAGGCACCUUAAACCCUUAUGUAUUGUACAGGUAACUGACAAAAUAAUGGAAAACACUAGUAAAUGAGGGAUACAAAGUAUAUUGAAUGCAGGUGCUUCCAUACAGGUUGUGGUUUCUGAGUUCAUUAAGCAAUUAACAUCCCAUCAUGCUCCUCUGUCAUGUAUAAAAAGGCUGGGCUGACCAUUAUUUCAGUCAUUCUUUUUGCUACCAUGGCUAAUCACCCAGAACAACAAUGCCCCCAUUUACAGGGCACAAGUGGUCACUAAAUGGUUUGAUGAGCAUGAAAAUGAUGUAAACCAUAUGCCAGUCACCAGAUCUCAAUCCAAAUGAGGCAGUACCUGAGACAGCGUUUUCCACAACUAUCAACAAUACACCAAAUUAUCCCUCCAAUAGAGGUGCAGACACUCGUAUAAGCUUUGCCAAGGUGUAUUAGAGCUGUUCUGGUGGCUGGUGGUAGCCCAAUGUAGCCCAAGGUUGCUGGUGGUGGCCCAAGGUUGCUGGUGGUGGCCCAAGGUUGCUUGUGGUGGCACAAGGUUGCUGGUGGUGGCCCAAGGUGGCUGGUGGUGGCCCAAGGUGGCUGGUGGUUCCCCAAGGUGGCUGGUGGAGGCCCAAGGUGGCUGGUGGUGCCCCAAGGUGACUGGUGGAGGCCCAAGGUGGCUGGUGGUUCCCCAAGGUGGCUGGUGGUUCCCCAAGGUGGCUGGAGGUUCCCCAAGGUGGCUGGUGGAGGCCCAAGGUGGCUGGUGGUGCCCCAAGGUGACUGGUGGAGGGCCAAGGUGGCUGGUGGAGGCCCAAGGAGGCCCAAGGAUGCUGGUGGCGGCCCAAGGUUGCUGGUGGUGGCCCAAGGAUGCUGGUGGUGGCCCAAGGUUGCUGGUGGUGGCCCAAGGUUGCUGGUGGCGGCCCAAGGUUGCUGGUGGUGGCCCAAGGUUGCUGGUGGUGGCCCAAGGUUGCUGGUGGUGGCCCAAGGUUGCUGGUGGUGGCCCAAGGUUGCUGGUGGUGGCCCAAGGUUGCUGGUGGUGGACCAAGAUGGCUGGUGGAGGCCCAAGAUGGCUGGUGGAGGACCAAGAUGGCUGGUGGAGGACCAAGGUGGCGGCCCAACUCUCUAUUAAGACGCUUUAUGUUGAUGUUUCCUAUAUUUUGACAGUUACCUGUGUGUCUUUAAAUUCUGACAGAUACGUCCGCUUUCUCCGAGAUUUCCUGGAGACAGCAGAGAAGCACUUCAUGGUCGACUUCAACGUGCGCUACUACGUUUUCACAGAUCGUCCCGACGAUGUUCCCUCAGUGAACCUGUCUCAGGGGAGACAUUUAAGUGUGAUCCAGGUGCCAGGUUCAAACCGCUGGCAGGAGAUAUCGGCCCGGAGGAUGGAGAUCAUCCAGACAGCCAUCGAACGUCAGAUCAGCAGGGAGGCUGACUACGUCUUCUGUCUGGACGUGGACAGCAAGUUCCACGCUCGCUGGGGAGCCGAGUCUCUGGGCAGGCUGGUUGCUGCGAUUCACCCAUGGUUCUACCAGGCGACCCGUGACCAAUUCACAUACGAACGGCGUCCAGCCUCGACAGCCUACAUCCCCAUGGAUGAGGGAGAUUACUACUAUGCCGGGGCCCUGUUUGGAGGAUUCGUGGAGGAUGUGUACACACUAACAAAGGUAUGCCGGAACCAGCUUGAAGAGGACGCGAGGAAUUCCAUCGAGGCUGCCUGGCAGGAGGAGAGUCACCUCAACAGGUACCUGCUUUACAACAAGCCCAGCAAGCUGUUGUCUCCAGAGUACCAGUGGGAUGACAAGAAGACCAAUACCAUAGAGGUCAAAAUCAUUCGCUUUUCUUCUGUCAUUAAAAACUAUGCUGAAAUUCGUCCCAAUGUAUAGGACUAGGAAUUAGAUAUUCGACCGACAGAAGAAAAACUUAAUACAUUAUGGUUAAGGUUAGGAUAAGUUGAGGUAUAGCUUCACUGAGGUUUGGGUUAAUGUUAGGUUAAGUUGAGGUAUAGCUUCACUGAGGUUUGGGUUAAUGUUAGGUUAAGUUGAGGUAUAGCUUCACUGAGGUUUGGGUUAAUGUUAGGUUAAGUUGAGGUAUAGCUUCACUGAGGUUUGGGUUAAUGUUAGGUUAAGUUAAGUUGAGGUAUAGCUUCACUGAGGUUUGGGUUAAUGUUAGGUUAAGUUGAGGUAUAGCUUCACUGAGGUUUGGGUUAAUGUUAGGUUAAGUUGAGGUAUAGCUUCACUGAGGUUUGGGUUAAGGUUAGGAUAAGUUGAGGUAUAGCUUCACUGAGGUUUGGGUUAAUGUUAGAUUAAGUUGAGGUAUAGCUUCACUGAGGUUUGGGUUAAUGUUAGGUUAAGUUGAGGUAUAGCUUCACUGAGGUUUGGGUUAAUGUUAGGUUAAGUUGAGGUAUAGCUUCACUGAGGUUUGGGUUAAGAUUCGGAAAAGGUAUAAAAUCUCACAUUGGAUAUACAGCUGUCCGGCCCCAUUCAUUUUCUGUUGGUGAAAUAUAUACACUGACAUAAAACUACUAUUUUAAAUGUACUGUAUAUCAGUCACUGUUGUAGUUUUUGGAUAAUAACGUUCUUCAUUUAUGGGAAAAUAAAUAUUUUGUUUUAUUACCUUAUUCAUCCUCUAUUCUGUAGUCUAUCUACUGUAUGUUGAUUACUGGGAACAAUCUCAAUGAAUAUUAUGUUUAAAAAAAUAUUACGAUGAUGUGUAUUUUUCUUGAAAUAAAUAUUUCACCACUUU